UCGAGAAUCUUCCGCAAUGCACGAAAGUGUGACGGAGCGACACCGCGUGAUGGAUGACACCCUUCGGGGCGUAAACAUCUUUUAUAAAGGAGGAAAUUAUUGACGUUACUUUAUGAAUAAGGGGCUCCCAAUCUCGUGCCAGCAGGAGCGGUAAUACGAGAGCCCCGAGCGUUAUCCGGAAUCAUUGGGCGUAAAGGGUGCGUAGGUGGUUUGAUUAGUCUUUUGUUAAAUCUUCGGGCUUAACUCGAAACAAGCAAAGGAAACGGUCAGACUAGAGUAUGUGAGGGGUGUGUGGAACUCAUGGAGUAGGGGUGAAAUCCGUUGAUAUCAUGGGGAACACCAAAAGCGAAGGCAGCACACUGGCACAUUACUGACACUGAGGCACGAAACCCUGGGUAGC
rnacentral:rRNA from 1 species